rnacentral:rRNA from 1 species
AUUGAACGCUGGCGGCAGGCCUAACACAUGCAAGUCGAACGGUAACAGGAAGACGCUUGCUUCUUUGCUGACGAGUGGCGGACGGGUGAGUAAUGUCUGGGAAACUGCCUGAUGGAGGGGGAUAACUACUGGAAACGGUAGCUAAUACCGCAUAACGUCGCAAGACCAAAGAGGGGGACCUUCGGGCCUCUUGCCAUCGGAUGUGCCCAGAUGGGAUUAGCUAGUAGGUGGGGUAACGGCUCACCUAGGCGACGAUCCCUAGCUGGUCUGAGAGGAUGACCAGCCACACUGGAACUGAGACACGGCCCAGACUCCUACGGGAGGCAGCAGUGGGGAAUAUUGCACAAUGGGCGCAAGCCUGAUGCAGCCAUGCCGCGUGUAUGAAGAAGGCCUUCGGGUUGUAAAGUACUUUCAGCGGGGAGGAAGGGAGUAAAGUUAAUACCUUUGCUCAUUGACGUUACCCGCAGAAGAAGCACCGGCUAACUCCGUG